rnacentral:RNase_P_RNA from 1 species
CAAGGAGGCUGGGCGGCCGCUCUCUCGUCUUAAGGCGAGGGAGAGGAAAGUCCGAGCUCCACCGGGCAGGAUGCCCGCUAACUGCGGGGCGGGGCGACCCGACGGACAGUGCCACAGAAAUGUACCGCCGCGACUUGACGUCUCGGUAAGGGUGAAAAGGUGCGGUAAGAGCGCACCGCUUCGGUGGUAACAUCGGAGGUCAAGGCAAACCCCAUCCGGAGCAAGGCCUAAUAGGGGGAUUACGGUGCCCGCCCCUUCCCCGGGUUGGCCGCACGACCUCGGUGGCAACGUCGAGGCUAGAUAGAUGGCCGCCGCCCGACGCUACGCGUCAGGUUACAGAACUCGGCUUACAGGCCUCCUUGGCAA